CUAAGCACUCCUACGGGAGGCAGCAGUGGGGAAUAUUGCACAAUGGGCGCAAGCCUGAUGCAGCCAUGCCGCGUGUAUGAAGAAGGCCUUCGGGUUGUAAAGUACUUUCAGCAGUGAGGAAGGUGGGUAUGUUAAUAGCAUAUUCAUUUGACGUUAGCUGCAGAAGAAGCACCGGCUAACUCCGUGCCAGCAGCCGCGGUAAUACGGAGGGUGCGAGCGUUAAUCGGAAUUACUGGGCGUAAAGCGCAUGCAGGUGGUUUGUUAAGUCAGAUGUGAAAGCCCGGGGCUCAACCUCGGAAUUGCAUUUGAAACUGGCAAACUAGAGUACUGUAGAGGGGGUAGAAUUUCAGGUGUAGCGGUGAAAUGCGUAGAGAUCUGAAGGAAUACCGGUGGCGAAGGCGGCCCCCUGGACAGAUACUGACACUCAGAUGCGAAAGCGUGGGGAGCAAACAGGAUUAGAUACCCUGGUAG
rnacentral:rRNA from 1 species